rnacentral:rRNA from 1 species
UACGGAGGGGGCAAGCGUUGUUCGGAUUCAUUGGGCGUAAAGGGUGCGUAGGCGGCGCGGUAAGUCGGGUGUGAAAUCUCGGAGCUUAACUCCGAAACUGCAUUCGAUACUGCCGUGCUUGAGGACUGGAGAGGAGACUGGAAUUUACGGUGUAGCGGUGAAAUGCGUAGAUAUCGUAAGGAAGACCAGUGGCGAAGGCGGGUCUCUGGACAGUUCCUGACGCUGAGGCACGAAGGCCAGGGGAGCAAACGGG